GGGUGAUCUGCCUGUAACAUUGGCAAAAUCUGUCACCUUAAUGACCAAAAGGUUGGACUGUGCUGAUCUGGCUGGCUAGACAGAUAUUCCCCUACACUCCCUGCCCAUUCCACACAUGCCGAUUCUAAAGCUAUGCACUCAGUGGAAGAUACAGUGUACUGCUCUUUGAUCAUGGGUGAUCUGUGUAUCAUGACCACUUACCAGUGAUACCCAAUGGUUUCUAUAUUGAGGGUGAGUGAAUCAAAAAGAGUGGGCAAUAAAAGCAUCAAAAAACAGAUUUUAUACCAACAUUAUAGCUGUAGCACAAAGCCAUCCAGCCAAGCUGU
rnacentral:snRNA from 1 species